rnacentral:lncRNA from 1 species
AUUCAUGGAUAAUUCCAUGUUUUUCACAAAAAAGUUCAAAUGGCUCAUUUUCAAAUUCACCACCAUGAUCACUUCUGACUUUUAAAAUUUUCAUUUCUUUUUCAGACUGUAUUUGAGUGCAGAAGCUACUGAAUACAUCAUAUGCAUUAUCCUUACUUCUUAGGAAUUUUACCCAAGUCCAUCUGCUAUAAUCAUCAACAAUGACCAAUC